CCUACGGGAGACUGCAGUGAGGAAUAUUGGUCAAUGGGAGAGAUCCUGAACCAGCCAAGCCGCGUGAGGGAAGACGGCCCUAUGGGUUGUAAACCUCUUUUGUCGGAGAACAAAACCCGGGACGUGUCCCGGACUGCGUGUAUCCGAAGAAUAAGCUUCGGCUAACUCCGUGCCAGCAGCCGCGGUAAUACGGAGGAUGCGAGCGUUAUCCGGAUUUAUUGGGUUUAAAGGGUGCGUAGGCGGUCCGUUAAGUCAGCGGUAACAUUGCGGGGCUCAACCCCGUCGAGCCGUUGAAACUGGCAGACUUGAGUUGGCUAGAAGUACGCGGAAUGCGCGGUGUAGCGGUGGAAUGCAUAGAUAUCGCGCAGAACUCCGAUUGCGAAGGCAGCGUACCGGCGCCAGACUGACGCUGAGGCACGAAAGCGUGGGGAUCGAACAGGAUUAGAUACCCCUGUAGUC
rnacentral:rRNA from 1 species